AUGGCAUCGCCGUCGGGAAGCGCCGGGGACCGAGCCGAGCCUUGCGGGGGCUCCUCCUCUACUAUCUCCCCAAUCCGGCCGAUGCUCUCUUCAGCUCCUCCUCCUACUCUUCUCCCCCCAGUAUGGAGGGAAUUUGUGUGGGGAGCAAUUGCAGGCGCAUUUGGAGAAGGCAUGAUGCAUCCAGUUGACACCCUGAAAACAAGGCUUCAGAGUCAAGCUAUAAUGUCAGGUGCUAAGGCUCAGAAGAAUAUUUUCCAGAUGGUCAGGACAGUUUGGGCUUCUGAUGGACUGAGAGGUUUUUACAGAGGAAUUAGUCCAGGCGUUACUGGUUCACUUGCUACAGGUGCAACAUAUUUUGGUGUUAUUGAAUCAACAAAGACAUGGCUGGAGAACAAUAAUCCCAAUCUUAGUGGUCAUUGGUCUCACUUUAUUGCUGGAGGAAUUGGAGAUACACUUGGAUCUUUUAUCUAUGUGCCUUGUGAAGUUAUGAAGCAACGGAUGCAAGUCCAAGGCUCCAGCAAAUCUUGGGCACUAAAUGCUACAAAAGGAAAUGUUUCUCAAUCUCCUGGCACUCAGAUGUAUGGGUACUAUAAUGGAAUGUUCCAUGCUGGUUCUUCUAUCUGGAGAGAUCAUGGUGUGAAGGGACUCUAUGCAGGAUAUGGGUCUACGCUUGCCAGGGAUGUCCCGUUUGCUGGCCUAAUGGUAACUUUCUAUGAAGGGUUGAAAGAACUUACUGUGUAUGGGAAGAGGAAGUAUUUGCCAGACAGUGAUUUACAAGUCAGCAACUCUUUUGAAGGGCUUGUUCUAGGAGGAUUAUCAGGCGGUUUUAGUGCAUACUUGACAACCCCCUUGGAUGUCAUCAAGACAAGACUUCAAGUACAAGGAUCAACAACUAGGUACAAUGGAUGGCUGGAUGCUAUAAAAAAGACAUGGGAUGCUGAGGGAGUGAAUGGCUUAUUCAAGGGAAGCGUCCCUCGGAUAAUAUGGUAUAUACCCGCAUCUGCAUUCACGUUCAUGGCGGUGGAAUUCCUGAGAGAGCAUUUCAACGAGAAGGCCGAUACAGAUGCGGAGACGGCCUUGAACUAG
rnacentral:rRNA from 1 species